rnacentral:rRNA from 1 species
UACGGGGGGGGCGAACGUUGUUCGGAAUUACUGGGCGUAAAGGGUGCGUAGGCGGUUCGAUUAGUCUGAUGUGAAAUCCCCUCGCUCAACGAGGGAACUGCAUUGGAAACUGUCGAGCUCGAGGAUGGGAGAGGCAGGUGGAAUUCCUGGUGUAGCGGUGGAAUGCGUAGAUAUCAGGAAGAACACUCGUGGCGAAGGCGGCCUGCUGGCCCAUUUCUGACGCUGAGGCACGAAAGCCAGGGGAGCGAACGGGAUUAGAUACCCCGGUAGUCCUGGCCGUAAACGGUGAACACUAGGCGUCGGGGGUAUCGACCCCCUCGGUGCCGCAGCUAACGCAUUAAGUGUUCCGCCUGGGGAGUACGACCGCAAGGUUGAAACUCAAAGGAAUUGACGGGGGCCCGCACAAGCGGUGGAGUAUGUGGUUUAAUUCGACGCAACGCGAAGAACCUUACCAGGGCUUAAACUGCAGGGUAAACCUCCUGAAAGGGAGGCUGCUUCGGCGAUCCUGUAGAGGUGCUGCAUGGCUGUCGUCAGCUCGUGUCGUGAGAUGUUGGGUUAAGUCCCGCAACGAGCGCAACCCUUGUUCUUAGUUACCAGCGCGUCAUGGCGGGGACUCUAAGGAGACUGCCGCCGCAAGGCGGAGGAAGGUGGGGAUGACGUCAAGUCCUCAUGGCCCUCAUGUCCUGGGCUACACACGUACUACAAUGGCCGGUACAACGAGUCGCAAGGCCGCGAGGUCAAGCUAAUCUCUUAAAGCCGGCCCCAGUUCAGAUUGCAGUCUGCAACUCGACUGCAUGAAGGCGGAAUCGCUAGUAAUCGCGGAUCAGCACGCCGCGGUGAAUACGUUCCCGGGCCU